rnacentral:rRNA from 1 species
AAGGAAUCUUCCGCAAUGGACGAAAGUCUGACGGAGCAACGCCGCGUGCAGGAUGACGGCCUUCGGGUUGUAAACUGCUUUUAUAUGGGAAGAUUGUGACGGUACCAUAUGAAUAAGGACCGGCUAACUACGUGCCAGCAGCCGCGGUAAUACGUAGGGUCCAAGCGUUAUCCGGAAUCACUGGGCGUAAAGCGUGCGUAGGCGGGUGUUUAAGUGAGAUGCGAAAUCUUGUGGCUCAACCAUAUAGACUGUAUCUCAUACUGGAUACCUUGAGGACGGCAGAGGCAAGUGGAAUUACUGGUGUAGCAGUGAAAUGCGUAGAUAUCAGUAGGAACACCAAUGGCGAAGGCAGCUUGCUGGGCCGACCCUGACGCUAAGGCACGAAAGCGUGGGGAGCGAA